CCGACUCUAAUCCAGGUCCUCCAUGUGGGUUCACAGGCCGAACUCACUUCCUUUCCCGGAGAGACAAGCUCGGAGGGAGCUUGAGAUAGAGCGUCUCCAAUCUAUGACAACUUCCGCUUGGUUACAAAGCCGAGGGAUAGGAAGCAGAUACGAAGCAGCCAUAAACACGGAAUAGCACCUUUUCUUCUGUGGGGAAGAGUGGAGACUUCAUUGAAGCAGAUUGCAUCUGAUGAAACUCAGUCUAUGAAAGCUUGUGCUACAAACAUUUUUCAGCUAGUAUCAAAGGUGCUACAACAUCCCUUUGCAUACGGAUACAGACUAGCACAGCUUUGAAUAAUCCAUCAGAUCUCUCUCUCUCUCUCUCUCUCUCUCUCUCUCGCUCUCGCUCUCGCUCUCGCUCUCGCUCUCGCUCUCGCUCUCGCUCUCGCUCUCUUUGAUCAUCUAGUUAACUUAACUAUUCCCAACCUCACCAAGUCCUUUACCCUCACCUUUUGGCCAAAAGUGAAAUCAGAAAUGAUGUUAUGUCACUACCAGUUUUGGUGAGUUAGAGUCACAGAGUUGGAGGACACCACAAGGGCCAUCAAGUCCAGCCCUGUUCUGCCAUACAGGAACACACAAUCAAAGCACUCCUAACAGAUGGCCUCUGCAUACAGAGAAGGAAACUUGGUUGCAUUCCUAGGCAGCUCUUACCAUCAUGAAAUUAUUCCUGAUGUUUAGGUGGAACCUCUUUUCCUGCAGUUUUAAUCCAUUACUCCACGUCCUAGUCUCUAGAGCAGCAGAAAACAAGUUUGCCCUCUCCUCAAAGUGACAUAUUUUCAAAUAUUUAAAUAGGGCUGCCAUGUCUUCUCUCAGGCCCCUUCUACACUGCCAUAUAAUCCAGACCAUUAGAUAUUCCACAUGAUCUGCUUUGAACUGGAUUAUAAACUGCCAUAUAAUCUUGUUCAAAGCAGAUAAUCUGAAUUUUAUAUGGCAGUGUUGAAGGGGCCUUGGUCUCCUUUGCUCCAGGCUAAACAUUCCCAGCUUUCUGACCCCCCUCCUCAUAGGGCAUGACUUCCAAACUUUUGAUCAUUUUGGUCACCCUUCUCUGGACACUUUCCAACUUGUCAAUAUCCUUCUUGAAUUGUGGUGCCCAGGAAUGGAAAUAGUAUUCCAGGUGAGAUCUAACCAAAGUGAUUACUUUGGAACAAUUACUUGCUUGGACCUGACACUUUACUCCUAUUGAUGCAGCUUAGAAUUGUCUUGCCUUUUUAAGCUGCCGCAUCACACUGUUGACUCAUGUUCAGCUUGUGGUCUACCAAGAUUCUGAAAUUCCUUUCACAUGUAUUACAGUCAAGCCAGGUAUCACACUGGGACCCAAUGAGGCAGCAGUGGAUACAAAUGACCCCACCCUAUUUCCCCAUCCUUGCCCUAGACUAAAAUAUGUUAGGAGUUUGCUGUCACUUAUAUGGGUUCUCUCUGAGUUUCUCUAACACUCCCAACUGUUAGGAACUGAAUCAGAUUGACUUCAAAUGCAGAAAAGAAUAAAACCCCAAUAUUAACACACCAUCGCUGACAAUGAAUGUCCUACAGGAAUCCACAGCUUUGCAAAUGCCGACAGUGAAGAGGCAGCCGUCUUCAUCUGUUUCCAUGAGGCACUCUUUGCAGAUCAAACUUUCUAGAAUAGGAAACAGUGUGACUGAGACUGGCAAGUCUAGUAUUCUGGGAGUUGUCUCUCCAAAGUAACUUUUUCCAAGCUUCGAAAAGCUGUAUAAAUAUAAUCAAUGAAUUUUUCCAAAGGAAGCAAAAGCCAAAAUAUUUCAAUUUUUAAAUGUACUGUACAUUACAGUAUAUUGAUUUAAUUAAAUAUAAUUGACGUAAAAUUGCACAACAUCCAUAAGAUUUGGAGAAGCAACAAAAAGAGUUCUUGCAAAGUUUUAAGUAAAAUAGGUCCUGCUAAUUUGAUGUCUGCUACAACUGUACUAAUGAGAUCUAGAUUAGUUUGAAUUUGUGACUGCUUGCACUUUCACCUUAUCUGUCAACUUAUGGCAGCUCCAUAGAUUUCACAGUGUUUUCUUAGGCAAGGAAUACUCAGAGGUGUUUUUGCGAUUUCCUUCCUCUAAAAUAGAUCCCGCAACACCUGCUAUCAUUGGUGGUCUCCCAUUCCUAUACUAACUAGGCGUGACCCGCUUAGCUUCCAAGAUCAGGUGGGAUUGAUGCUUUCAGUAAUUAAUACUAAUUACUUUUUCUCUACACCACUUUAUAAAGUUUUUGUGAGUGUUCAGUGAAAUCUAAUCACUCCUCACUGGGAGGAAAGCAAGAUAGAAAUAGGACAAAUAACUUAUUACCAUUCUAACAAAAUGGGAGGUGACCUUGCAAAUCACACACCUCAUCAUUUAAUGCUGUGUUUAUAGGUAGAUGAUGGAAAAGUUACUUUUUGGGUGUUGGAGUGAGGCCCCAUCUACAUUACCAUAUAAUCGGGUUUCUGAAUCUAGAUUAUCUGCUUUGAAUUGGAUUAUAUGUUAGUGUAGACUCCUAUAAUCCUGUUCAAAGCAGAUAAUCUGGAUUCAGAAACUGGAUUGUAUGGCAGUGUAGAUCCCUUUUGGGUGGCCCUUGAGGUCUAUUCCAACUAUGAUUCCAACUAUGAUUCUAUGUUCAGUCCAGCUUCCAGAUGGACUGAACAAUCUGGGGAAAGAAGUACCGGUAAUCACCAAUAUAGCAAGCAAGAAAUAAGUCGUAAUUAUAACUUACCUACCACAAAUCCCAAGCAAAGUGAAGCCAAAGCAGCAAAAAGGAGAGCCUGGGCCAUGUGGAAUUAUUCACUCUGCUUCUAUAUAUGCGCACCCUGGCUUUGCUUCAUCAAAGUACACCCUUCACUCUCUGAAGCAUAUCUUGCUCGCUACAUUAAUUUAGCAUUGAUGGCUGCUGGAGGGAAGUGAGUUGCUCUGAUCUAAUCAUUGCAAGAGGCUGCAUUGUAAGGCUUUAGCUAGGGCAAUGUCCCCUUCACUAAAUUAUCAAUUUCCAUUUUAAGAACAAAAGGAAGAUUAAGCAAAUAAAUACCACUUGUGGUUUAUUGUGUUGGGUAAGGUAAGGACCUGAAAGCUCAUGGACAGACUUCAGGAAAGACUAUCUGCAAAGUAUGAGGAACAGUCCAACAAGAUAAGGCAUGAUGGCCACUGCAGGGUCUAAACCAGUUAAAUCACUUAUUUCUAAAACUGGGUAACAGAGAGCCAACUCCUCAGGACCCUGGAGAGCACUACCUAGCAAGUGCAAUACAUACCUCCACCUUCGUAACUCCUCAACAGAUGGCUUGUACUGUCAGGUACUGGCUUGUUCAGUAGAAUCUCCUCUACAGUUCCAUUUGGUGGGAAGCCUUAGCAUUCAACGGUUGCAUUGUUAAAGUGCGAAGUAUGGAACCCUGCGCAGACGGUCAUUCAGUCAUUGAAUUCUUGACAGCAGAAGGUGUCACCCCAAAGGAGAUUAAUCAGAGAAUGCAAGCUGUUUAUGGUGAUUGUGCUGAUGUGCAUACUGUGUGUCAUUGGGCGAGUAAGUUUAAAGAUGUUGAGGUGGGAACAUCUGACUUGCGUGACAAACAAAGAGUUGGACAUCCUGUGACAGCAACCACCAAGUUUCAUAAGCAAAAGGUUGACAGAUUGAUUCAGGUCAACUGUUGUCUCACUCAGAGAAAAAUUUCAAGCAUAAGCGACAUUUCUCAAGAACGUGUGGGUCAUAUUAUUGCUUUGCUUGGCUAUUGGAAGAUCUGUGCACAAUGGGUCCUGUGAGACGCUGGUUGCGGAAACAGUGUCGACUUCUUCCAUUACGGCUUGAGAAAACUUGUUCAUCGUUGGCAGAAAUGUAUCGAAUUGUCUGGUGAUUAUGUGAAAAAGCGAAUAGUGGUAGUUAAAGAGCACAUUCUAAGGAUUAUUUCUGCAUUUGAUUUAUUAAAAUAUUCCCAUCCAAACCCAAGUAAUGAAGGUGGAGGCAUUACUUUUCAUUCAACACUCGUAGAUGCUCUAGCAAGGAAAUACUAGCAAGAAAUGAUUAGGUUUCUCAGCUCAUAAUAAUAAUUGAACAGUUCUCAGGACAGGAGUAAGUCGCUUGACUUUCUCCUGUCACUCAGCUCCCCCUGGGGCUGGAAUCGAGCAUACUCUCAUGAAGCCGGAAACUGGAAAAUGUUAAAUUGCCUCUGUGUCUGUCUAUAUGUUGUAUGUCUAAUGGCAUUGAAUGUUUGCCAUAUAUAUGUGCAUUGUAAUCUGCCCCGAAUCCCCUUCGGGGUGAGAAGGGCGGAAUAUAAAUACUGCAAAUAAAUAAAUAGACAUAUGGAGCCCCCGGUAGCGCAGCGGAUUAAACCUCUGAGCUGCUGAACUUGCUGACUGAAAGGUCACCAGUUUGAAUCUGGGAUCACGGUGAGCUCCCACUGUUAGCCCCAGCUUCUGUCAACCUAGUAGUUUGAAAACAUGCAAAUGUGGUAAAGCAAUAGGUACCGCUCUAGCAGGAAGGUAACAGAACUUCAUGUGGUCAUGACCUACUGUAGGAGGUGUCUAUGGACAAUGCUGGCUCUUCAGCUUAGAAAUGGAGAUAAGCACCAACCCCCAGAGUCGGACACGACUAGACUUAAUGUCAGGAGAAUAACUUUACUUUUACCUAAGUGACUUGAUGUCAAUCUGGUGUCUUGGAUGUCAGACCCCACAAGCCCUAGUCAGCAUAGUCAGUAGGAUUUUGGAAGUUGUAAUCCAAAAUAUUUGGAGGACACCGGAUUGUUCAUCUUUGUCUUAAGAGAAAGACUUUGCUGUAAACAGACAAAACAGAAGUCAGGUAUUACUUCAAAUAAACAGCCAUGAUCCAGCUAGCUACAUUGGUAUAUUCAGCUUUUGACUUUUCUGCCAUUAUUAUUUCACAUUGUUUUUCAUGUGCUACAAUCCUAUUUUUAUCAUUUUUUAAAUGCUACAUUAGAUACCCCAUGAGUCUUUGGCCUGAAUGGGAAGAUACAAAUUAGAAGUGGGAAUACUGGGGUCUUCCAGAUGUUGCUGGGUUGACAUAUAAUACAAAUUAAAGAUGUAACUGUAUGCUGAUCUUUUUAGUGAGCUUGAUCAAUUCCACCUUGACAGUAGCUGACAUCUCCCCAUGACCUUUGUUGCUUGCUGAGAUCUGUCAUUUGUGCUAUGUUAGAAAUGCUGUAAAUGCAAUAUUAAGUGUGCAAGGCCAAGAAGAUCUUAAGCCAGUGCCAGACCCUGAGAAGCAUCUUCUUAAACAACAAACAAGCAGUAGAUAAAUUAUGUGCUGGUCAUAUAUACUUCAGGUAAAGGAUUGCCAUAUAUGCCUUAUGAUUAAAUAUUGCUCAUGAGUACUUUUUCGCUGUUGUGGUAACUGAGGUUCUAUAAAAUACUGAUGCUUAUAAUAAACUUUAUCAAUCUUAA